AACGAACGCUGGCGGCAGGCUUAACACAUGCAAGUCGAGCGCCCCGCAAGGGGAGCGGCAGACGGGUGAGUAACGCGUGGGAAUCUACCCAUCUCUACGGAAUAACGCAUGGAAACGUGUGCUAAUACCGUAUACGUCCUUCGGGAGAAAGAUUUAUCGGAGAUGGAUGAGCCCGCGUUGGAUUAGCUAGUUGGUGGGGUAAAGGCCUACCAAGGCGACGAUCCAUAGCUGGUCUGAGAGGAUGAUCAGCCACGCAGGGACUGAGACCCGGCCCAGACUCCUACGGGAGGCGGCGGUGGGGAAUAUUGGACAAUGGGCGCAAGCCUGAUCCAGCCAUGCCGCGUGAGUGAUGAAGGCCCUAGGGUUGCGAAGCUCUUUCACCGGUGAAGAUAAUGACGGUAACCGGAGAAGAAGCCCCGGCUAACUUCGUGCCAGCCGCCGCAGUAAGAC
rnacentral:rRNA from 1 species